rnacentral:rRNA from 1 species
GAUGAACGCUGGCGGCGUGCCUAAUACAUGCAAGUCGAGCGAACAGACGAGGAGCUUGCUCCUCUGACGUUAGCGGCGGACGGGUGAGUAACACGUGGAUAACCUACCUAUAAGACUGGGAUAACUUCGGGAAACCGGAGCUAAUACCGGAUAAUAUAUUGAACCGCAUGGUUCAAUAGUGAAAGACGGUUUUGCUGUCACUUAUAGAUGGAUCCGCGCCGCGUUAGCUAGUUGGUAAGGUAACGGCUUACCAAGGCGACGAUGCGUAGCCGACCUGAGAGGGUGAUCGGCCACACUGGAACUGAGACACGGUCCAGACUCCUACGGGAGGCAGCAGUAGGGAAUCUUCCGCAAUGGGCGAAAGCCUGACGGAGCAACGCCGCGUGAGUGAUGAAGGUCUUCGGAUCGUAAAACUCUGUUAUUAGGGAAGAACAAAUGUGUAAGUAACUAUGCACGUCUUGACGGUACCUAAUCAGAAAGCCACGGCUAACUACGUG